UCCCUGGUGGCUCAGUGGUAAAGAACCUGCCUGCAGUGCAGGAGACCCAGGUUCGAUUCCUGGGUCGGGAA
rnacentral:tRNA from 1 species